GCCACGUCCGGCAGUGACUCGACAGUUCGGGCAUUUAUGUUUGGGGCUUUUGGAAUUUGCGGUGGCGAUUUUGCUUCGGCUAAGGACCUCAAGGAAGAGGUUUCUAAGGACAUUGAUUUGGGAUGAGCACUUUGACGCAGAGGUUGUCUAGCUCGAUCUACAUUUGAGGCGGGUACC